rnacentral:rRNA from 1 species
AAUGAACGCUGGCGGCGUGCUUAACACAUGCAAGUCGAGCGAGUGAGUUCUUCGGAACGAUCUAGCGGCGGACGGGUGAGUAACACGUGGGCAACCUGCCUCAUAGAGGGGAAUAGCCUCCCGAAAGGGAGAUUAAUACCGCAUAAAAUUAUCGAGUGGCAUCACAUGAUAAUCAAAGGAGUAAUCCGCUAUGAGAUGGGCCCGCGGCGCAUUAGCUAGUUGGUGAGGUAACGGCUCACCAAGGCGACGAUGCGUAGCCGACCUGAGAGGGUGAUCGGCCACAUUGGGACUGAGACACGGCCCAGACUCCUACGGGAGGAAGCAGUGGGGAAUAUUGCACAAUGGGGGAAACCCUGAUGCAGCAACGCCGCGUGAGUGAUGAAGGUCUUCGGAUUGUAAAGCUCUGUCUUUGGGGACGAUAAUGACGGUACCCAAGGAGGAAGCCACGGCUAACUACGUGCCAGCCGCCGCGGUAA